rnacentral:rRNA from 1 species
GAUGAACGCUGGCGGCGUGCCUAAUACAUGCAAGUCGAGCGAACAGAUGAGGAGCUUGCUCCUCUGACGUUAGCGGCGGACGGGUGAGUAACACGUGGAUAACCUACCUAUAAGACUGGGAUAACUUCGGGAAACCGGAGCUAAUACCGGAUAAUAUAUUGAACCGCAUGGUUCAAUAGUGAAAGACGGUUUUGCUGUCACGUAUAGAUGGAUCCGCGCCGCAUUAGCUAGUUGGUAAGGUAACGGCUUACCAAGGCAACGAUGCGUAGCCGACCUGAGAGGGUGAUCGGCCACACUGGAACUGAGACACGGUCCAGACUCCUACGGGAGGCAGCAGUAGGGAAUCUUCCGCAAUGGGCGAAAGCCUGACGGAGCAACGCCGCGUGAGUGAUGAAGGUCUUCGGAUCGUAAAACUCUGUUAUUAGGGAAGAACAAAUGUGUAAGUAACUAUGCACGUCUUGACGGUACCUAAUCAGAAAGCCACGGCUAACUACGUG